AGAUGUAUGAUGCAGCCAAGGAUGACUUGCCGAAAAGCUCUCAAAAGGCUUCCUUUUUCUACUGCCAUCAUGCAUGGGCAUGACAUGACAUGUAAACACCAUGCAUGGGAUCCUGUCAUGUAUCAUGCCGAGUACACAUACUAUCAUGUCUAGGUCUAGCAAAGGACAUGGAAGGAACGAGGAAUGGAUCGGCCCAUUUUUUCGAUUGACCAUCAUGCCCAUGCAUGUGGCAUGAGAUGUAACAUCAUGUAUGGUGUACUAUACUGUCCAAACAAGGAUCGGAAAGGAACAGAGAGUGGAUUGGCAAGUUGUCCUUGGCUAUAUUUUCAUUUCU
rnacentral:pre_miRNA from 1 species